rnacentral:rRNA from 1 species
CUACGGGUGGCAGCAGUGGGGAAUAUUGGACAAUGGGCGAAAGCCUGAUCCAGCCAUGCCGCGUGUGUGAAGAAGGCCUUCGGGUUGUAAAGCACUUUCAGUGGGGAAGAAAGCCUUGGGGCUAAUACCCUCGAGGAAGGACAUCACCCACAGAAGAAGCACCGGCUAACUCCGUGCCAGCAGCCGCGGUAAUACGGAGGGUGCGAGCGUUAAUCGGAAUUACUGGGCGUAAAGCGCGCGUAGGCGGUCUGAUAAGCCGGUUGUGAAAGCCCCGGGCUCAACCUGGGAACGGCAUCCGGAACUGUCAGGCUAGAGUGCAGGAGAGGAAGGUAGAAUUCCCGGUGUAGCGGUGAAAUGCGUAGAGAUCGGGAGGAAUACCAGUGGCGAAGGCGGCCUUCUGGACUGACACUGACGCUGAGGUGCGAAAGCGUGGGUAGCACACAGGAUUAGAUACCCCUGUAGUC